rnacentral:rRNA from 1 species
AGAGUUUGAUUCUGGCUCAGAACGAACGUUAGCGGCGCGCUUAAUAUAUGCAAGUCGUACGAGAAAGCACCUUCGGGUGUGAGUAAAGUGGCGCACGGGUGAGUAACACGUGGGUAAUCUACCUUUUGGUGGGGGACAACACCUCGAAAGAGGUGCUAAUACCGCAUUCGUCCACUUUGGUGGGGAAAGAUGGCCUUUUUUUGGAAGCUAUCGCCAGAAGAUGAGCCCGCGGCCCAUCAGCUUGUUGGUAGGGUAAUGGCCUACCAAGGCUUCAACGGGUAGCUGGUCUGAGAGGAUGAUCAGUCACACUGGAAUUGAGACACGGUCUAGACUCCUAUGGGAGGCAGCAGUGGGGAAUAUUGCGCAAUGGGCGAAAGCCUGACGCAGCGACGCCGCGUGGGUGAUGAAGGUUUUCGGAUCGUAAAGCCCUGUCGGAGAGGGAAGAACAACCUGCGAGAAUAAUACCUUGCAGGCUUGACGGUACCUCUCCAGAAAGCACCGGCUAACUCCGUGUUAGUAGUUGCGGUAAUACGGAGGGUGCAAACGUUGUUCGGAAUCACUGGGCGUAAAGCGCAUGUAGGCGGCUUAGAAAGUCAGGUGUGAAAGCCCUCGGUUUAACCGAGGAAGUGCACUUGAAACUGCUAAGCUAGAGUACGGGAGAGGGUAGUAGAAUUCCAGGUGUAGAGGUAAAAUUUGUAGAUAUCUGGAGGAAUAUUGGUGGUGAAGGCGGCUACCUGGACCGAUACUGACGCUGAGAAGUGAAAGCGUGGGGAGUAAAUAGGAUUAGAUAUCCUGGUAGUCCACGCCGUAAACGAUGGACACUAGGUGCUGCGGGUAUUGACCCCUGCGGUGCCGUAGUUAACGCGUUAAGUGUCCCGCCUGGGGAGUACGGCCGCAAGGUUAAAACUCAAAGGAAUUGACGGGGGCCCGCACAAGCGGUGGAGCAUGUGGUUUAAUUCGAAGCAACGCGCAGAACCUUACCUGGGCUGGAAACCUAUGGAAGCCCCCUGAAAGGGGGGUGUGCCCUUCGGGGAGCCAUAGUUCAGGUGCUGCAUGGCUGUCGUCAGCUCGUUUGUGAGAUGUUGGGUUAAGUCCCGCAACGAGCGCAACCCUUGUCGUUAGUUGUUACCAGUUUGGCUGGGCACUCUAGCGAGACUGCCGGUAUCAAGCCGGAGGAAGGUGGGGAUGACGUCAAGUCCUCAUGGCCCCUAUGUCCAGGGCUACACACGUGCUACAAUGGCCGGUAUAGAGAGUAGUGAAUUUGUGAGGGUAAGCGAAUCUCAAAAAGCCGGUCUCAGUACGGAUUGGAGUCUGCAACUCGACUCCAUGAAGGCAAUCGCUAGUAAUCGCGGAUUAGCACGCCGCGGUGAGUACGUUCCCGGGCCUUGUACACACCGCCCGUCACACCAUGGGAGUUGACUACUCCAGAAGUCGUUGAGCUAACCUUUGGGAAGCAGGCGCCCAAGGAGUGGUUGGUAAUUGGGGUGAAGUUGAAAUAAGGUA